GUACAGAUGAUGAGCGUUGCGUUAUGAGGGGUAACAAUGAUACUGUAAACGCUUUCUGAUGUA
ensembl:snoRNA